UACUAUUUCUUUCAAAAUUAAUUUCUAUUUUGUGCUUGAGACAAUGUUUUACAAGGCUGCGCUUACUUUCUUUAUGUUCUUAUUACUUUUGGCUGGAUUGCUCUCCCCUGUAGCACCCACAAGAAUGGAUAGGGCGAUGAUAGCAAGAGAUCUGAGUCAGAGUAUUGCUGCAAUUGGUGCUCCGAUACAUAAGAGCCCUUCAGGUCCUGGAAAUAAUUAGGGAUGAAAUUAAGGCAAAGAAGUUUCGCUACCGUCAACUAUUAAUCGGUUGUUACUGUUAUUGUUGUUGUUAUUAUCUUUAUUUUUUGCUAAUAAAGAGUCUUUAUCUCCA